rnacentral:tRNA from 2 species
GGCCCUGUAGCUCAACGGUUAGAGCAGGCGACUCAUAAUCGCUUGGUUCCCGGUUCGAGUCCGGGCGGGGCCA